CCUACGGGAGGCUGCAGUGGGGAAUAUUGCGCAAUGGGCGAAAGCCUGACGCAGCAACGCCGCGUGCGGGAUGACGGCCUUCGGGUUGUAAACCGCUUUCAGCAGGGACGAAGCAACACGUGACGGUACCUGCAGAAGAAGCACCGGCUAACUACGUGCCAGCAGCCGCGGUGAUACGUAGGGUGCGAGCGUUGUCCGGAAUUAUUGGGCGUAAAGAGCUUGUAGGCGGUCUGUUGCGUCGGAAGUGAAAACUCAGGGCUUAACCCUGAGCCUGCUUUCGAUACGGGCAGACUUGAGGAAGGUAGGGGAGAACGGAAUUCCUGGUGGAGCGGUGGAAUGCGCAGAUAUCAGGAGGAACACCAGUGGCGAAGGCGGUUCUCUGGACCUUUCCUGACGCUGAGAAGCGAAAGCGUGGGGAGCAAACAGGCUUAGAUACCCCAGUAGUC
rnacentral:rRNA from 1 species